rnacentral:rRNA from 1 species
UGAAUACGAGACGCUAAGGCGUCGAAGUAGUGUAUGUCAUACUUCCAAGAAAAGCUUGCACUGUCAUAAGUAAAAAAUGCCUGUACCAUAACCGACACAGGUGGGUAGGUAGAGUAUACUAAGGGGCGCGAGAUAACUCUCUCUAAGGAACUCGGCAAAAUAACUCCGUAACUUCGGGAGAAGGAGUACCUUAUUCUAUAAGGUUGCAAUAACAAGAUCCAAGCAACUGUUUAUCAAAAACACAGGUCUCCGCUAAGUCGUAAGACGAUGUAUGGGGGCUGACGCCUGCCCAGUGCCAGAAGGUUAAAGAAGUCGGUUAGCAUUAGCGAAGCUGGUAACUGAAGCCCUGGUGAACGGCGGCCGUAACGAUAACGGUCCUAAGGUAGCGAAAUUCCUUGUCGGGUAAGUUCCGACCCGCACGAAAGGCGUAAUGAUUUGGAUACUGUCUCGGAGAGGGGCUCGGUGAAAUAGACUUGUCUGUGAAGAUGCGGACUACCUGCACCAGGACAGAAAGACCCUAUGAAGCUUUACUGUAACUUGAAAUUGAAAUUGGACUUUAUUCGCGCAGUAUAGGUGGGAGGUGUUGAUUAUAAUCUUGCGGGAUUAUUGGAGCCAUCAGUGAGAUACCACUCUUGUAAUGUUAGAUUUCUAACUUUGAAUCAUUAUCUGGUCAAAGGACAGUUUCAGGCGGGCAGUUUGACUGGGGCGGUCGCCUCCCAAACGGUAACGGAGGCGUACAAAGGUUUCCUCUGAACGGGUAGAAAUCGUAUCUAGAGUGUAAAGGCAUAAGGAAGCUUGACUGUGAGACCUACAAGUCGAACAGGGACGAAAGUCGGUCUUAGUGAUCUGACGGUACUGAGUGGAAAGGCCGUCACUCAACGGAUAAAAGUUACUCUAGGAUAACAGGCUGAUCUCCCCCAAGAGUUCACAUCGACGGGGAGGUUUGGCACCUCGAUGUCGGCUCAUCGCAUCCUGGGGCGGUAGUACGUCCCAAGGGUUGGGCUGUUCGCCCAUGAAAGCGGUACGCGAGCUGGGUUCAGAACGUCGUGAGACAGUUCGGUCCAUAUCCGGUGUAGGCGUUAGAAUAUUGAGAGGAGCCUUCUUUAGUACGAGAGGACCGAGAAGGACAUACCUCUGGUGUACCAGUUAUCGUGCCAACGGUAAACGCUGGGUAGCUAUGUAUGGAGUGGAUAACCGCUGAAAGCAUCUAAGUGGGAAGCCCACCUCAAGAUAAGUAUUC